GGAAAUCGCUCGCAAGUGUGUUUCAAUUACGACAGCCACUGCAAAGAUUUCUCUCAGAAAAGAAGUCGCCACUUGAAGCACAUUUCAGUGACGAGGAAUGGGUUGGAAAAAAGCGUUCAACUGCUACUUCCCUACCAAAAAGGACCCACAAACAAGGAUGGACCCGUGACCCAUUUAUUAAUAAACCAGGUGAAUCCAGCAUGUCUAUGCAAGAAGAAGAUCCACUGCUGGAGAUCGCAAACGAUGGUGCCCUUAAAAGGGUUUUCUGCAGUGACAGCAACCAAAACAAAACAACGUAAUAGACUGGAAAGAAGCAACACACUUCGGGUGUCAUUGUCUCCCAUUACACCCAGAUCAGACCAUCUCGUUGCAGAGAAACAACCUCAGGGCUCCCAUUGAUUCAGCGUUAUGUCAGAACGCACAGUUAGGGCUGUGGUCACCAACACAGAAGAUGAGGAAGAAGGGAGAGGAGAGGAGAUGGUUCAAACUGACUAAUUUAUUUCAGCUGUUGAAAAAUAACAAUCAUGGA